rnacentral:rRNA from 1 species
AUUGAACGCUGGCGGCAGGCUUAACACAUGCAAGUCGAGCGGGGUGAUGGUGCUUGCACUAUCACUUAGCGGCGGACGGGUGAGUAAUGCUUAGGAAUCUGCCUAUUAGUGGGGGACAACAUCUCGAAAGGGAUGCUAAUACCGCAUACGUCCUACGGGAGAAAGCAGGGGAUCACUUGUGACCUUGCGCUAAUAGAUGCUCCUAAGUCGGAUUAGCUAGUUGGUGGGGUAAAGGCCUACCAAGGCGACGAUCUGUAGCGGGUCUGCGAGGAUGUGCCGCCACACUGGGACUGGGACACGGCCCAGACUGCUACGGGAGGCAGCAGUGGGGAAUAUUGGACAAUGGGGGGAACCCGGAUCCAGCCAUGCAGCGUGUGUGAAGAAGGCCUUAUGGUUGUAAAGCACUUUAAGCGAGGAGGAGGCUCUUUUGGUUAAUACCCAAGAUGAGUGGACGUUACUCGCAGAAUAAGCACCGGCUAACUCUGUGCCAGCAGCCGCCGUAA